GAUCAGCCUAGCGGGGCUCCUGAGCCUGGGAGCUGCUCUGAGCACCAUAGCCACUGUGAGGGAGGCCCAUGGCCUCAUGGCUGCGGUAAGUUCCAUGUGCUGCCAGACGACCCCGGCUCCCAGACCUCAGACGGGGACAAGAGCUGGAGAGGAAUAAGACCAGGGAGCUGCCUGACCCCAGCAGAAGUAUCCAGAAAGAAGCAAAGGUCAGGGGAUAUAGACCAGUGAGUCCCUCCACUUACACAGUCAGGACCUUCCACUUGCUCAAUCAGGACCCUCCUACCUGGACCAGUCAAAAAAAAAAAAAAAAAAAAAACCUCUACCUGGGUGCUGCAGGGCCCCUGAAAGAGAGAAUUGGCCCUCUCUGCCCUGGGGUUAUCUCUAAAAACCCCAGAAGGGCUUGGUUCUGAUACCUAGCCAGGUCUGGAGACAGGACUGGGUGAAUUCCACUUCUCAUUAGAAGACCAAAAGUGACCAGGCAGUCCCUAAAGCUGUUUCUGCAACCUGGGCUUCCUUGUCAGAGAUCCACUGUCCUUGCCUAGCCAUUGAAGAGACGUUUCACAACCCCAAAGAAGAAAGCUCUUGUUGCUGCCGUAUCCAGUUCUCCAUAUGGGUGCCUCAGUGUGCCCCCACAACCCUCAAUGGCUAAUCCAGAUUCUCCCUCCCAGGGCCCUCCCCAUGGCCACCCUGUUCCUGUUUCACCCAGGCUUUCCCAGUCAUCUGAAUGUGGGCCGUUCCUUCCUGAGACCUUGCUCUCUUACCUACCCUCCCAUUCCAGGCAUUUCCUGUCCCCCUCCGCCGUCCAUCCCAGCGCCCCUGUUUGCAGACCUCCCAAACUCUACCUGUGAGAGACUGGGGGGAUCCAGGAGCCCUCAGGAACCUGAGCUUUGCUUCCUGGGUAGACCCAAUCUACCCUUUGCAACCUUGUCUUCGUGCUCAGUACAUUUGCUGAUGACCCGUGGUCUCCAGAACCAGGGGCAGAGUCACAUCCUAGAGCCGCUGCAGGGACCAGCCAGUCCUGGGUGGGCCCGGGUGACGGAGUAAGUAGAACCUGGCAGCUCAGACCUCACCAGGCAGGGCAGGGACAAGGCUGGCCAUGAAUAAGCACUAAACAAAAACAACCGAGAUUUAGAGCCCAGAUGGAGGCCCUAGUGAAAAGGGCACUGUGGGCUGGUUGGCUGUGAUCCCAGAGAAUUUGUGCCUUGCUAGAGGGAAGCAUGUAGGACAGACAAAAUGGAGGCAGGGGCACGCAGAAGGCAGCAUGUGAGGCCUGCGCCCAAGUAUAACAUCGGCCACCAGGGGGCACCAAGGUCAGCGAGAAGACCGUAAAGCUGAAGGCAGUAAACAGGUGGGCCAAGAGGCCCAGCUCCUGCGCAGCUUAGCCCAUCUCAGCAUUCCCAAGCUCCUCCCAUGUCCCGCUUGGCACUUGAUUUGUGGGCAAAGGAUUUCGGGAGCAUUAGAACCCAUCCAGGCUUUCCAAAGCUUCAAUUCCACAGCUCUAACAAGACUCAGGGCCUGGUGCGGUACUGUUGUGCAGGUUAGGCUAAAAGGCACAUCUAGACUCCUCCUGUACAGAGCUGUGCUCCCAAGGCUACUCCCGGCCCAGUGCUGGCUCUGCACUUUGCUAAGCCCAUGAUCCUCUACCUGAGCAUGGAUAGUAUGCCCAGCUCGGUCACCACAGAGUCACUGGGAGCUCCCCUGGUGGUUACAGUCUCUUUGUGUCACUUUGUGCCUGUGCGUAUGGUGGGCGCUGUCUGCAUCUGUCUGUCCCAUGGAUCUGUGCUGCCUGUGUGUCAGAACACAUACAAGUACAUAUAAAGGGCAAAGGGGGGAGGGAAUGGAAACAACCCCAACACCUCUGUGCCCACUGCUCCCUCCCUGCUCUUUCCUGCCCCGCCUUCCACAACACAGGAAAUGAAAGAGCCGGCUGGCUGCAGGAAGCCAAUUCAAGCUGUUUACGAGUUUAUUCAUUUAUUUUCAUUUAGAAUGAGGAGGGAGAAAAUGGUCACAGUUAGGUCUGGCCAAACCUCUCUCUGCUCUAUGUGGGCCUUAAGACCCUUUCUACACACACACAUUCUCUCUCUCUCUCUCUCUCUCUCUCUCUCUCUCUCACACACACACACACACACACACACACACACACACACGGGGGGGGGGGGGCUGGUGGGGAGAGGGGGAGACUCCCUCUUGAGUGAUGAAGUGGUUUCUGGAGAGGGCUGGACUGGGCUGGCUCACAGCCUCAGCCGGGAGGCAGAGUUGAGGAAUGGCUUCCAGAUGGGGAAAACAGCCCUCAACUGCCAGCAAGAGGAAAGAUGAGGGAGGAAGAAAAGGAGGGAAGAAAAGGUAGAGGAGAGAAGGAGAAGGGCGGAAGAGGAGGAGGGGAAAGAGGAGGAGGGGGGGAGAGGAGGAGGGAAAGAGGAGGAGGGGGGAGAGGAGGAGGAAAUAAAGGCAAAAGAAAAGCAGAGCAGCAGGCAACCCCAGGGCCAGCUCUAAGACAGGCUCUGGAACUGGCAGGAAGGGAAUUCCCCAUUCCUGCAGAGCACACACCCAGCCAAGUCUGAGGACCAGUACUGGUGACCCCAGCUCUUUCCACACACUUUGUAAACCUAAGCUAGCCCUGGCAUGGACCUAGCACCCUGGCCAAUGACUAUAGGUCAUUCUGCAUACUGGUCACUUGGGGGCUACCCCUGAGUGGUGCUGGGUUGAGACAGCCAGGCCAUAGCUGCCCAUAUUUAUUGAGCGACAUGACAGUGACACUUUGGAGUGGGGAGGUGGUCGAAAUGGAGGGCUCGAUGGUCACACAGGAAGUGGGUGGACCUAUGUGCAGGGCCCUGGAACUGACUGACGAUCAAGAGCGCCAGGCAGAGGCUCCAGGGUACCCAGAUCCGAGGUCACUAGGUAGGACUUUGGUGGGCACUGCUGGGGAACAGGUUUCCUCAACAAGAAUGACCCUCUGAAACUACCCACAAAGUGUAGGGACUUGUAGCAGUACAUGGUCAGGGAAGACAUCUGCAUUGUCCACUGGCUUCUGUAAAGAAGUCAGAAGUCUGUACCCCAACUAAAGG
rnacentral:lncRNA from 1 species